rnacentral:miRNA from 1 species
AGGGAUCGUAAUGUGGCAUCGA